CUACGGGAGGCAGCAGUGGGGAAUCUUGGACAAUGGGCGCAAGCCUGAUCCAGCCAUGCCGCGUGAGUGAAGAAGGCCUUAGGGUCGUAAAGCUCUUUCGCCAGAGAUGAUAAUGACAGUAUCUGGUAAAGAAACCCCGGCUAACUCCGUGCCAGCAGCCGCGGUAAUACGGAGGGGGUUAGCGUUGUUCGGAAUUACUGGGCGUAAAGCGCGCGUAGGCGGAUUAGUCAGUCAGAGGUGAAAUCCCAGGGCUCAACCCUGGAACUGCCUUUGAUACUGCUAGUCUUGAGUUCGAGAGAGGUGAGUGGAAGUCCGAGUGUAGAGGUGAAAUUCGUAGAUAUUCGGAGGAACACCAGUGGCGAAGGCGGCUCACUGGCUCGAUACUGACGCUGAGGUGCGAAAGUGUGGGGAGCAAACAGGAUUAGAUACCCCUGUAGUC
rnacentral:rRNA from 1 species